rnacentral:rRNA from 1 species
CAAUAGCGUAUAUUAAAGUUGUUGCAGUUAAAAAGCUCGUAGUUGAAAUUCUGGUUGCCUUUGCCCGAGGCACAUGUGUCCGGGUUUCGGUAGCCAUUCUCACAAAGAAGCUGUGAUACAUUAACUUGUAUUGCAGCGGAGUUGUGUCGUUUACUGUGAACAAAUUAGGGUGUUUAAAGCAGGCCACCGCUUGUAUACAUUAGCAUGGAAUAAUGAGAUAUGACUUUGGACGUAUUUUGUUGGUGACAGCCAAAGUAAUGAUUGAAAGAAACAGUUGUGGGUAUUCGUAUGAGCAUGUCAGAGGUGAAAUUCUUGGAUUUUGAUCAGACGGACAACUGCGAAAGCAUUUACCAAGGAUGUUUUCAUUAA